rnacentral:rRNA from 1 species
GACGAACGCUGGCGGCGUGCCUAACACAUGCAAGUCGAGCGGAGAUAGGCGGAAGGUAACUGAAGCUUAUCUUAGCGGCGGACGGGUGAGUAACACGUGGGCAACCUGCCUUGAAGUGGGGGAUAACACCGGGAAAUCGGUGCUAAUACCGCAUAACAUACACAAACUGCAUGGUGAGUGUAUCAAAGGAGCAAUCCGCUUUAAGAUGGGCCCGCGGCUGAUUAGCUAGUUGGUAAGGUAACGGCUUACCAAGGCGACGAUCAGUAGCCGACCUGAGAGGGUGAUCGGCCACAUUGGAACUGAGACACGGUCCAAACUCCUACGGGAGGCAGCAGUGGGGAAUAUUGCACAAUGGGCGAAAGCCUGAUGCAGCAACGCCGCGUGAGCGAUGAAGGCCUUCGGGUCGUAAAGCUCUGUCCUCAAGGAAGAUAAUGACGGUACCUUGAGGAGGAAGCCCCGGCUAACUACGUGCCAGCAGCCGCGGUAAUCUAAGUCUACG